UACGGGAGGCAGCAGUGGGGAAUAUUGCACAAUGGGCGAAAGCCUGAUGCAGCUAUGCCGCGUGUAUGAAGAAGGCCUUAGGGUUGUAAAGUACUUUCAUCGGGGAGGAAAAAACAAAACUAAUAAUUUUAUUUCUUGACGUUACCCGAAAAAGAAGCACCGGCUAACUCCGUGCCAGCAGCCGCGGUAAUACGGAGGGUGCUAGCGUUAAUCAGAAUUACUGGGCGUAAAGAGCACGUAGGUGGUUUUUUUAAGUCAGAUGUGAAAUCCCUGGGCUUAACCUGGAACUGCAUUUUGAAACUGAAAUACUAGAGUAUCGUAGAGGGAGGUAGAAUUCUAGGUGUAGCGGUGAAAUGCGUAGAUAUCUGGAGGAAUACCCGUGGCGAAAGCGGCCUCCUAAACGAAUACUGACACUGAGGUGCGAAAGCGUGGGGAGCAAACAGGGAUUAGAUACC
rnacentral:rRNA from 1 species